UGGUAUGUACUAGCCUGCCGAUUCCUCCUUCUUGUAGAACCGUAAUGCCAUUAAUUUGGUGUUGCGGGGAAACAGGACUGUUACUUUGAAAAAAUUAGAGUGUUUAAAGCAGGCUAGCGCCUGAAUACAUUAGCAUGGAAUAAUGAAAUAGGACGUUCGAACCUAUUUUGUUGGUUUCUAGGAUUGACGUAAUGAUUAAUAGGGAUAGUUGGGGGCAUUAGUAUUCAAUUGUCAGAGGUGAAAUUCUUGGAUUUAUUGAAGACUGACUACUGCGAAAGCAUUUGCCAAGGAUGUUUUCAUUAAUCAAGAACGAAAGUUAGGGGAUCGAAGACGAUCAGAUACCGUCGUAGUCUUAACCAUAAACUAUGCCGACUAGGGAUCGGAUGAUGUUAAUUUUUUAAUGACUCAUUCGGCGCCUUACG
rnacentral:rRNA from 1 species